rnacentral:rRNA from 1 species
UACGAAGGGGGCUAGCGUUGCUCGGAAUCACUGGGCGUAAAGGGCUCGUAGGCGGCCAACUAAGUCAUACGUGAAAUCCCUCGGCUUAACCGGGGAACUGCGUCUGAUACUGGAUGGCUUGAGUUCGGGAGAGGGAUGCGGAAUUCCAGGUGUAGCGGUGAAAUGCGUAGAUAUCGGGAGGAACACCUGUGGCGAAAGCGGCUCACUGGACCAUAACUGACGCUGAUGCACGAAAGCUGGGGGAGCAAACAGG